AUAUAACAGAGACGAAGAGCCAAAAACCUCUCUCUUUCUCUCUGCCUUGAUUCGGUGGUCUUUGUGGCCGGAACCCUUCCCACCGAUCGUCGUCGACGUCUCUCGUCGCUCUCUGAUCCCAUUUUUCGACAGGGAACUGUACAGAAAAUCUUUUACUUAGUUGGCGUUGCUGGCUUCUUGCAAGCGAUUUGAGCUGUUUUUGUCGCAGAUUAAUCUAGGUGAAGGAUAAUAGUUAGGAACACUAAAGUAUCCUAUACAAGAGACGAGCUUUUAUUUUUUAGCAACCUCUGCAGCAAAUUGCCCAGUGGAUUCGACUCUUCAGUCUUGAGUAAAUUGGAUGAAACAUUUAUUGCUCUAAAUGAGAGGCAAAGAGGUUCUGGAGUUUCGAUCUUUCAUAGUGCAAAGAACAGUGAUUACACGUCACUGCCACAGACUAGGCCAAACAGCACAGUUAGUUUGUAUCGGGGAAGCUCUGGGCGGUGGGAUGCACGAUCAUCUGAAUUAAACAUCAGAGAUGGAGAUUUCGAAUCAAACCGUGAAACAAAUAUUCAAGAUAAUUAUAAAUGUGUUGGAACACAAUCUAGACAUUAUGCUCAACAUGCUGAACAUGAUGGACUACUCGCAACUGGUACCUAUCAGAGACCUUCAGGUUCUGAAGAACCUGUAAUGGAAAAAUCUAGAGUAGCCAACCAAUUUCAACUCAAUAAGACUCCUGAAUCCUAUCAGCCCCAACAACCUUAUAAGGCAUUACAUUUUCAAGGAAAGGACAGUAAAGAUUUAUGUAAUGACGAAACUUUUGGAACAAAUGGAUAUUCAAAUGAGGUCAGAACAGAAGAAUGGAGGAGAAGAGAAUCCUUUGAGCUUAUAAGAAAGGAACAACAGAAAGCACUGCAAGAGAAGCAAAAACAGAUUCCUGAUAACCACAAACAAAAUCUUGAUGCUGGUAUUGUUUCAUUACUUGAUAGUUCUGCUGAUAAGAAGAACAUAUUUGGCAAAGCUGAUGAAGAAGAAGUGCCUUCAAAGUCUCAGAUUGAAUCUUCUAGAGUUUCUACACACACUCCUCUACCGCGACCACUUGUACCACCUGGCUUUGCCACUAUGCCACUGGACAAAGUCCUCCCUGCUCAAUCUCUUUCCUUUGCAUUGGAGGCCCCUAUUACUGAUACUGUUAGCAGUGAGCAUCUAGAUAGCAUACAUGAUGAUCAAGAAAAGUUUCAUUCAUUAGACAUCAUCUCUGAUGAUAGUGUGAAAAAAAUUGUUGGAAACUUCUCUUCCAAAACCUCUGCCCUUGAGAAUGUCAAUAUGGUUCAGGGAGGAGUCAUAAAGAAUAAUGUUUCCGACAUGGAAAAAAUUGAGUUUGAGGGUACAAAUUCAUUUGUUGACAAUUCUGUUUCCAUAUUGGAAAGGUUGCUUGGUGGUUCUCUACACACUUCUAGCAGCUCUGCCACUUCUGCUGCAGGUUUUAACAUGGAUGAAGAACCAUGGACGCCUUCACUUUCUGAAUCUUCCAAGUUUUCGAGUUGGUCUGUUGAAGAAAACAAGCUUUCUGAAGAUUUGUCAUCGAAGAAUUUACUUUCUUUAAUCACUAAUAAGGGUAAAGUUGGCUCUUCAACUUCAAUAGUUUCUCAUGACAAAUUAUUUAAUCAUUUGGAACCAGGCAGUAUCACUUGUAACAAUGCUAGACAUAAAUUUGAUGCAUCUCCUACAACUGCUUUGAUGGUUGAGGUCGCUGAACAAUUUCAUCAAAUUGAUAAGCCAGAUCAAAAUCAUGUUGUACUUACAUGUGAGGAGCUUGAGCAGUCCAUCUUAGCUGACUUAGAAGGCAGGUCAAAUCUGCAGCAUGUUGUGCACAGACCUGGGAUAGUCACAGACGAAAACAUGAAACAUCUAAAAUCUGAUAUUGAUGAUGAAGCAUCACAACAUCUUCUUUCUCUAUUACGAAAGGAGGCCAAGAAGGAGAAGGAGAUGCCAUUUGGAACUGGCGUAGAUGUUGAAUUCUUGGAUAAAUUGUCUUUAACUGAUAAAAGUUUUCCUUCUUAUCUAGCAAUUCCUGAUAAAAACACUGCUGAGAUAAUAUUCAGCUCUGAGAAGUCCAUGAUCCUUGAAGCGUUAUUUGGAGCCAAUUUUAUGAACGAGCUCCUAUUUGCUCAAGCUCCAGUUUCUACAAGAAGAGCAGUGAUAGAUGAUGAAACCAACAUUGAUGCCUUGCUAUCAUCGGUUGGAUUGCCAUUUCCAAAAUCAGAUGCUAGUUUCUGUUCUAGGUCUGGCAAUUGUCAGCUGAAGAAGUUUGUUCGUCAAAUUGACAUUGCACCUCUUAGCAAGGCUGGUCUUGAAGAAAAAAAUUUGGAAUUCCACUUGCCAGAUGAGGAUAGUUUGAUUAUUGAGAGUGACAUUUUGGAACCGGUGAUCUCAGAUCAUUUGCCCUUUGUCGAUACAAGUAAAAAUAAGGAGCUAGUUUCCAAAAUAAAUGUGGAACAUCUCAAAGAUAAAUUGCUAACUGGUAUUCCAAAGGGAGACAUACGAAUAUCUGUGUUGGAUGCUACUUUACAGAGACCACAUAACCUGGACCGUGCUUGUGCUCUUAAGCAUCAUUGCCAGGGAAUGAAAGCAUCUCAUACCAUUAAUUACACUAGAACUCUACAUCCGUUGUUGCAACAUCUCUCAAACAGGAAUCAGCAAAUAAAGCAUAUUGGCUCUCAACAAAAUUUAAAUGUCCCUCAAAAUUUGCCUGAGAAUGUUGUUCCUCGUAAUGUUUCCAAUCAUGCCAUUGGUCCCACUUCCUAUGACAUGAUGUCACAGCAGAUGUCAAUUCCCAGAAACUUUCAGUACCAACUGCCUCUCCCAGGUUUUGCAAGAGGUAUACAAUUACCGUGUCAGAUUAUUUUUUUGCAACGGUAUCUACCAAAGACAAACAAGGUGGACAACAUUCCAUUACAGCAACAGCAGCCAACCGGUAGUAGUUCUGGAAUUGGAAUUCCAGGUGCUGUCGCUGGAGGUGGAGGGAAUCAUCCAGAGGCAUUUCAAAGGCAUCCUUGCCCUGCAGCUGCUGGUCACAUUCCAAGUUUGUAUGGUCCAGAAUUUCGAUACAGAUGACAUAAAACAAUGAAACCCUUGCGAUUCAUUAGUUGCUGCUGUUAUCUUGGUUUUCCUGCUGCUUCUUUUUCACCUUUUUCUCUUCUGUUUUGGUGAUGCCCAGAGUGUCAUUUCAAAUAGCUCCAGCCAAAGUCUCAAUCCAUUGGUCGUUCUCCCCUCUGAAAAGGAAAAAUACGGGAAGAUUGGUAGCAAUUAAGAUAAGAGAAUUUUUUGAUACAUGUGUAUAUAGGCAACCCUUCAUUUUACAUUCGAUUUCUGGCAUUCAACGUAAAAAAUUCCAUCUGGUUUUACUCCAAAGAAUAUGAAAUAAACUCGAAUCACUUCCAGGGUUGAGUUGGAUAUCUAUAUUAAAAAUAAAUAAAUAAAUGAAAUAAACUCGAAACUUUUACGUCAAUAUUUAUUGGAAUUUUGCCACGGUCUCUUUAAAUUCCAUAUUUUCACGCCGAGUUCUCCGUUUGUAAAGCGAACAAGAUAAAGUAGGCUCACAACGCUCCCUCCUGGUGAGCAUGGCAACAACCCCGCUUCCCUUCUCUUCCUUCCUGCCUCUCCUCUCCCAUCCCCACAAGCUCUCCUUCCGCUCCCUCUCCAAAACCCUAGAUCCAGCGCUCUCUCCCUGCCGGCCCACCCCGAUCUGCUGCAGGGCUUCUCCUCAGACGCCGGAAGACUCCGUCGAGACCAAAGGGACCGGCGCCGUUGCCCCUACUCGCGGCGAUGUCUACCUCGAGCGCCAGCAAGCUACGUCUGCGACCGCUUUCGUUUUGGAGAAGGACAAUCAGGACAAGUCGAGGAGGAAGAGGAGGGUCGGUGCCAAGUUUCCUAACAACGUCGCUUGCUGCUACGGCUGCGGAGCUCCUCUCCAGACCGCGGAGAUCGAUGCCCCCGGUUAUGUCAUCGCUGAGACCUAUGAGUUGAAGAAGAGGCACCACCAACUUAGAACAGUUCUCUGUGGCAGAUGUAAGCUUUUGUCUCAUGGACACAUGGUAACUGCUGUGGGUGGGCAUGGUGGUUAUCCCGGCGGCAAACAAUUCAUUUCUGCUGAAGAGUUACGGGAUAAGCUCUCUCAUCUACGACACGAGAAAGUACUUAUUGUUAAAUUAGUUGAUAUUGUUGACUUCAAUGGCAGCUUUUUGGCUCGAAUACGUGAUCUUGCUGGUGCUAACCCUAUUAUAUUGGUCAUAACUAAGGUUGACCUCCUGCCCAGAGGCACUGAUCUAAAUUGUAUUGGUGAUUGGGUUGUUGAAGCUACUACUAAGAAGAAGCUCAAUGUUGUUAGUGUUCAUCUAACUAGUUCAAAGUCUUUGGUGGGGAUCACUGGGGUUAUAUCAGAGAUUCAAAAGGAGAAAAAGGGCCGAGAUGUCUAUAUUCUGGUUAGUAUAUACACUGACUUGAGAGUGAAGUUCUUUAUCCAUGUUCCAAAAUUUCUGUGCUAAGCAAUACUUUGUUGUCAUCUUUGAAUAUAUUAAGUCAUUUGAUGUCAGUUCAGCAUAACUGUAUGUCAAUAUGUAAAUUUUCGUUUCCCCUUGUCUCUAGUUCCGUGAUUUUGUACAUUUGAUUUUUUUUUUCUUGUUAGAAUAAUUUUCUAGUGUCCACUUUUCUAAUUUCCUUUCUAGUUUAUUUUCUAUUACCUUAUCUAUAUGUUUGCUGAAAAUGAGAAGAGAGGAAAACAAAAAGGAAGUCGUUGAUUUCCAAUGUCAAUAGUCAUUUAAAAAGUCAUUUUAGAUUAAGGGUGUUAAUGGGAUGGGACACGGCCCAAUCCAGUCGGACCAGACCCAACAUGGGGAUCAAGCCCAACAUGUCUGCAGGCCAAAUCUGGCUAGCCAAAAUAAACUCUAUUUUAGUAAAUAAUAUUUAAUAAAAAUAUUAAUUUUAACUAUAUUCUAAUUUUCUUGAAGUUUUUAUUUUUUAAAUAUUUUUUAACUAGACAUAUUAAAAAAAAAGGAAAUGGCUUGUAGACCCAAGCCAUGUUGAGCUUGGCCCGACUUACAUUGUGCCCUGAUUCAUGCUGGGUUGGACCACAGACUAAUUCAGGUUGUGCCAUCACAGCCUAUUUGACUUCUCACAGUCCAGAAUAGGCCUGGGCUGUGUUUGGCCUGGCCCAUCUAAUUAAAACCUCUAGGUUCUUAAUUCUGAGGCUAUAGAUUCAACUUAUUAAGAAAUGACACUAUUGCACAGCAGAACAACAUCAUCUUAUGAAUUUACUCAUUGGAUGAAGCCACAAAGGGCUGUUCAUCUGAUAAGCCAUUUGUGCCUUUAAAUAUAAAUUGAUUUAGGAGUUGGGAUAAACUAAUGACUUUCAGUGUAAAGGUAUUAGUUAAACUUUGUCAAAUCAAUGAUAAUAUUCUGUUUGCACUUUUUCAUUGUCUGAAACUUUUGUUGUUCUUACUUUAUCUUAUUACUUGCAUUAACUACUUCAGGGUGCUGCAAAUGUAGGGAAGUCUGCAUUUAUCAAUGCUUUGCUCAGUAAGUUUCAUGACAUGCCACCUUUUCCACAUGAAAGUCAAUCUUUUAUUUCUUCUUAUUAUUGCGCCUUGACUAGUAUGAACUGUUGAUUAUCUGCAUUUUGGGGAAGUCAACUUGUUCAUGCUAAUUUUUUUCUUUGACAUUCUGUUGUGGGCUGAGUUGACAGUUAUAUGUUAAAAGCUCAGGUUCUCUCAAUGGUACAGUGCAACUUUCAUUAGUUCCUUUUCAUUAUAAAUUUUGCUUCAUGAUUAGUAUGCUUUAUUUCUUUAAAAUUUUCCUUCAGCAAGAAAAAGGUUGUUUGGAUAUAGUUUUGCUUUUGUAACGGACACACAAAUUAAUAAUGGUUUUGCAUGAAAAUGUAUACAACAUGCUUCUUGUGUAUGUAAUAGGGCGUGGCUGCAUUAAGCAGCUUGCCUUUAUAUUAUAAUUUUUCCUUGUUUUGAAAUUCUCUUCCAAAAUACUUUAUCCUGAAUAGUACAACUUGUAUUUUCCGAUGCUCUGUCAUAAAAAACUAAAAUGUUUAUCUCUGUUAAUAGAGGAGGCUUAUAGAGUACCUUGUCCUUUGUUGUGAGAUUUAUACUUUAACUUUUGGGUUUGGAUCUCCUAAUAAUGUGUAAGUCAAUUUAGGUGAUCAGUACAUCUAAAUUCACUCUCUUGUUCAAGCAGAGCUAAUGGCAAAAAGGGAUCCAAUUGCUGCAGCUGCUCGGAAGUACAAACCAAUGCAGUCAGCUGUUCCUGGGACAACACUGGGGCCUAUUCAAAUUGAAGCCUUUCAAGGAGGAGGGAAUCUGUUUGAUACACCUGGUGUGCACCUUCAUCAUCGACAAGCAGCAGUAGUCCAUUCUGAUGAUCUACCUUCUCUUGCACCUCAAAGUCGUCUAAAAGGACAAUCAUUUCCUAUUACCUCAAAUGAAACAGCCACUGGUCAGGAAACUGUUGGUUUAAAUGGGUAUUCGUUAUUUUGGGGAGGCCUUGUUCGAAUUGAUGUUAUCAAGGUUCUUCCAAAGACACGGCUGAUCUUUUAUGGACCCAAGAAACUAAAGGUUCAUAUGGUUUCAACUGUUGUAGCAGAUGAGUUUUACAACGAACAACUUGGAAUCACAUUGACACCUCCAACAGACAGAGAAAAAACUGAAUCUUGGAUAGGUCUUCAAAUAGUAAAGCAACUGAAUAUAAAGUUCGAAGAUACAAGAAGGCCUGCCUGUGACAUCGCCAUAUCAGGUUUGGGAUGGAUAGUAGUUGAACCAAUUGGCGGCACAUAUACUCCUCAUGAGACAGAUUCAGAGCAGGCAGGGGAACUGCAUCUAGCUGUGCAUGUGCCGAAGCCAGUUGAGGUCUUUCUACGACCUCCAAUGCCUGUUGGUAAAGCAGGUGAAGAGUGGUACCAGUAUCAAGACUUGACAGAGAAGGAAGAAGAGUUGAGACCUAAAUGGUUUUAUUGAACUUUUGCUCUCUUCUCUUGGGCUAAAAUUUGUUAGUGUCAACUCUUGUUGCUUCCCCAUGAUGUUUGUAAAUUAAAAGAUGAAUAGCAGCUUUUUGUCGGCUUGGUCAUCAUCGCUAAAGCGGCAUUAUUUGUGACUAUUUGAGAUCAGCUACAUGAAUAUAAAUCCAACAUCUGAUAUAUUAUGGUGAA